UACGUAGGGGGCAAGCGUUGUCCGGAAUUACUGGGCGUAAAGCGCACGUAGGCGGAUUGUUAAGUCGGGGGUGAAAUCCCGGAGCUCAACUCCGGAACUGCCUUCGAUACUGACGAUCUUGAGUCCGGGAGAGGUGAGUGGAACUGCGAGUGUAGAGGUGAAAUUCGUAGAUAUUCGCAAGAACACCAGUGGCGAAGGCGGCUCACUGGCCCGGUACUGACGCUGAGGUGCGAAAGCGUGGGGAGCAAACAGG
rnacentral:rRNA from 1 species